rnacentral:rRNA from 1 species
GAUGAACGCUGGCGGCGUGCCUAAUACAUGCAAGUCGAGCGAACAGACGAGGAGCUUGCUCCUCUGACGUUAGCGGCGGACGGGUGAGUAACACGUGGAUAACCUACCUAUAAGACUGGGAUAACUUCGGGAAACCGGAGCUAAUACCGGAUAACAUGUUGAACCGCAUGGUUCAACAGUGAAAGACGGUCUUGCUGUCACUUAUAGAUGGAUCCGCGCCGCAUUAGCUAGUUGGUAAGGUAACGGCUUACCAAGGCAACGAUGCGUAGCCGACCUGAGAGGGUGGUGCGCAACCUGGGAGCUGAGAAAGGGCCGAGACUCCGGGGGGGGGACGCAGUCGGGAUUCUUCCGCAAGGGGGGAAGGCGGGAGGGAGCACAGCGGGGGGAAGGAAGAAGGUCUCAGGAUCGUAAAACUUUGUUUUGAGGAAAAAAAAAAUGUGUAAGUAACUAUGCACGUCUUGACGGUACCUAAUCAAAAAGCCCCGGCUAACUACGUG